CGCAGAGGGGGAGGGGAAGAGACAAAAAAGAGCCACGAACAGGGGGGACCGAGAGAGGAAAAGGCGAAAGGAAAAAUAGAGAGAUCAGGGGGGGAUUGGACUGAAAAGGGGAUGAAAAAUCAAAGAAGAAAAACGCAAACAGAACAAGGGGAAAAUUUUGGUCCAUCAACCAGCAGCACCUCGUGCUUUUACCACCAUUGUCUUCGUCUUGAACGGAGAAGACUGGACAGAGAACAAGAAAAGGGAACAAACCAGGAGAGGAGAAAAAAAAGGAGCAGCACCGAGGAGCAAAAGGGGAGAAACCAAGAACCAGGAGAACGAAGACACUGGAAACACGUACAGGGGAGUCGAGAACCAGCAAGAAAAAACCCAAAAUAGAGGAAGAACAAGAGGACAACACAGGAGCAUACAAAGGAACCGAAGCAGAGCUUUGGCUGGUCAUCCAUCACGCCUUCGUCUCCUAAAUCAGAGAGCAAGCCAGGCGAACAAACAAGGAGAAGAGCAAGAGAACAAGAAUGAAAAGACUAGAGGAAGGGAAAGCAAGAAAUAGGCUGGUCAAUCAGCACCCGCGCGCCUUCGCCUCCAGCAGACCAUCUACAAGCAUCGAGAGUUUGCCAACCAGAAAAUGAAAACGAGAGAUGGAAUGCGCCUUGGUAAAGAAAUCUGUAAUCUGCAAGGAAGAAGGACCAAAAGGAAAAGAAAUGGUGCCAUGCUUAAGAUGAUGACAAGUAAGAUGACAAUCGAUCUCAAUGUGUUUAGUUCACUUAUAAAAAACUGAGUUAUAAGCAAUCUGAAUAGAAUUAUGGUUGUUACAAUA